rnacentral:rRNA from 1 species
UACGUAGGGUGCAAGCGUUGUCCGGAAUUAUUGGGCGUAAAGAGCUCGUAGGCGGUCUGUUGCGUCGGCUGUGAAAACCCGGAGCUCAACUCCGGGCCGGCAGUCGAUACGGGCAGACUGGAGUUCGGCAGGGGAGACUGGAAUUCCUGGUGUAGCGGUGAAAUGCGCAGAUAUCAGGAGGAACACCAGUGGCGAAGGCGGGGCUCUGGGCCGAUACUGACGCUGAGGAGCGAAAGCGUGGGGAGCGAACAGG